rnacentral:rRNA from 1 species
GACGAACGCUGGCGGCGUGCUUAACGCAUGCAAGUCGAACGGAAAGGCCCUGCUUUUGUGGGGUGCUCGAGUGGCGAACGGGUGAGUAACACGUGAGUAACCUGCCCUUGACUUUGGGAUAACUUCAGGAAACUGGGGCUAAUACCGGAUAGGAGCUCCUGCUGCAUGGUGGGGGUUGGAAAGUUUCGGCGGUUGGGGAUGGACUCGCGGCUUAUCAGCUUGUUGGUGGGGUAGUGGCUUACCAAGGCUUUGACGGGUAGCCGGCCUGAGAGGGUGACCGGCCACAUUGGGACUGAGAUACGACCCAGACUCCUACGGGAGGCAGCAGUGGGGAAUAUUGCACAAUGGGCGGAAGCCUGAUGCAGCAACGCCGCGUGCGGGAUAACGGCCUUCGGGUUGUAAACCGCUUUCGCCUGUGACGAAGCGUGAGUGACGGUAAUGGGUAAAGAGGCACCGGCUAACUACGUG